ensembl:snoRNA
UGGACCAAUGAUGACGAUCGUGACGGGAAGAGUCCUGAACGAUGAAAACAUGUCUGAAACUCUGAGGUCCAG